UAUCAACUGACCCCUCGUUUUAUUGCUUGC
rnacentral:piRNA from 1 species